CAACCCUCAAGCUUUGCUUGGUCUUGGGCACUGCCGGUUAAACGGCUUGCCUUAAAAUCAGUGGCGGUGCCAUUCGAGCUCUACGCGUAGUAAUUUAAACCCUCGCGAUUGAGUCUUGGUGGAUGCUUGCCAGCAACCCUCAAUUUUUUAU
rnacentral:misc_RNA from 1 species